CCAGCUCACGCUCCCUCGCGUGACGGUGACCCCGGCGAGGACAACACUGUGCCCGCGGGGCUCCGGGGGGCAGGACGUGUGCCUGAUGAGCCGCGUCUCCCGGGGCCUAGAGCAGCGGCUGGUACACGGUCUGGGCUCCUCAAGUGCGCCUGAAAGACGAAUAAGGAAUGACACCAGCGCCUGGUCUGAGGCCCUGGGCGCCUGGCGCACACGGGACCUCCCCGAGCGCUCACCGCUAGCCGAGCGGGGAAGGGGAUCACUCGCCCCCACUUCACAGACCAGGAAACCGAGGCUCAGACACGGGAGGCCGCUUGCCCGGAGGCGCACGGCCGGGCAAUCCCUGGGUGAGUGUCUCUCUGCCCUUCUUCAACUCUGGCGGGUUCCGCCUUGUUUCUUCUGUCCCUGGGAAUGCCCUGGUGUCUCUCCCUGGCCCUCUGGCUCGGACUCUCUCUCCCUCCCGGGUGGCCCUGUCUGCUUCUCUUCCUCAACGCCAUGUCUCCUUCCUCCCCCCAGAAUGGCUGCCGCUCUCCCAGCCAGGUUCGGGUGAGGGGAGGCAGAGGGGGGCCUUCCUGGGACCCAGCCGCGCCCUGACCCAGGAGCAGCGACGUGGGAUCCUCCACUCAGGCCCACAGCCCAAGAUUCCAUAGUCCAAGAUUCCAGAAGAAGAAUCCAGGAUGGGAAGGGUGGGGUCAGAGGGAGAAUGCUGAAAGAAGGUUCUGGAAGAUGUCUUCUUUGGGGCUGGAUGUGUCUUCACACGCUGCCAACCUGCAAGUCCAAACUCGACUGUGACUUUGCUGUGGGCCCAAGUGUCAGCAGUCGAUCUGUUAUCAGUUGAUGGCGGGCUCGUUUCUCAGAAGCCAGGCGCGCGCGCACGUGCCGGAGCCCCAUUCUCUGGUGUGGAUCAUGUCUGCAUCGGUUCUGGAAUAAUACUUUCAGGAGCACUGUUUCCAUUCCCAGUGAGUCGUGACCGUGCCUGGGUCUCAGUCCUCGUGCUUUUUCCUGAGUGAUGCCUCGCCUUCCGAAGCCGCGCAGGUUGUAACAGAAUGAGGGUGUGGGAUUCGAGAAACGUCCGGACCUGAGCAACCCCCACCCCCACCGAGUUUCCCCGAGCCCCAGAGACAGCCAGCCCCCCUCCGCCCGCCCGGGACAGCGCUGCCAGUCUGGGCGUCCCGUGGCCACCGUGUCAUGUGUCCCGGGAGUGGAGAGGGGUGGCCAACAGGCUGAGUCGGCGGCAGACCUUCGCCCUCCUGCAGGGAACAACUCUGGUGACUGAAAAGUAACCCCGUGUACCCACCGUGCUUGUGGGCAUUGAAACCCCCAGGCUCUCUGCCAGGGUCAGCGUGUUGGGGACUUUGGGCCGGUUUUGUACACGCUGAACAUCAGUCCGGGGGCCGCUUUGGUUUUAUGUUGUUUUGUGGGAAGAUUUUGGUUUUGAAGUGAUCUCCGCACCCGGCGUGGGGCUGGCACUCCCCACCCAGAGGUCCGGGGUCCCAAGCUUCACGGAGCCAGCCAGGCGCCCCGCGGGGCUGCUUUGGUUUUGUGAGUGAGCCUUCCAAGGAGGAGAAAGACACUGUUCAAAUCUGACUCUUUCUUAAGCGGUGAAUCCACUGGAAACUUACACUUCUAUUUCUGGAUAGAAUACAUUUCCCCAACCCCAUCACCGCGGAGGGAAGCAUUUUCUGUCAUGCUUGCUUCCAUUGAUAAACUGAGGUCGUUAAACUCUCUUACGUAUUUUCAGCC